rnacentral:tRNA from 1 species
AAGAUUUUAAGUUAAUUUAAAACUAAUAGUCUUCAAAACUAUCAAUAAAAUAUUAUUUUUAAGUCUUA